AGAUAUGUGAGUUGAUGAGUAUAGCUAAGUCUAAAGUUAGAUGUGUUCCAUAAACAUAGUGUUUAUGGAGUUGGUGCAUAUUCACUUCUCAAUUGAAGCCACAAAAUCCACAGCACACAAAGACCCUGCUACCAUGUAUUCACUUCAGUGAAAGGGAAGCACCGAAAUGCUGAGUGGGGGCAGGUACAGAUACUUCAAUCAUUGCUGAUGGAAGACUUCAAGAUACACUGUAAAAACUUUGAGAAAUGUCAUGACUGGGCACAUUGGAACUGACCACUUGUACAGGAUGGAACGUCUGUCAGCAGAUCUCAUGAAACUGGGAGCAAAGAUAUUUCUUAGGCUUCAGGUUCGUAGUCUUGAUACCCUUCCUAAUAUUAGAAAAAUCAAAAAGCACACACUGUUAAAAUAAGUUUCAAUCACGCAUCAGCACUGACAGCCAAUGAGAUAGGAAAUGGC
rnacentral:antisense_RNA from 1 species